CUAGAGCAUCAACCUGCCAAGUAUCCACAACCUAUCGGUUGUUUGAAGUCACUGCACAGACGGAGGGUCUGUAGCUCAGUCGGUUAGAGCACCGUCUUGAUAAGGCGGGGGUCGUUGGUUCGAUUCCAACCAGACCCACCAACGUUUGAAAGAACGGGGGAUUAGCUCAGCUGGGAGAGCACCUGCUUUGCAAGCAGGGGGUCGACGGUUCGAUCCCGUCAUCCUCCACCAUCCGCCUAGAGACCAAAGGUAAGCAGUUUUGCUUACCUCUGACCUCUGGACAGAGUGCAGUUCGAUCUUUAACAAAAUGGAAGAAGGUUGUGUCUCUGGUGCCGACAACCAGACCAGAGACACGGUUGUGAUUGCAUCGUGGUUCGUAUUACAGCUAGUACGAACCCCGAACAUAUGAGUUGCCUGUAGCCUGGAUUCGCAAGAGUCCGCAAGGUUAUAG
rnacentral:misc_RNA from 1 species